rnacentral:rRNA from 1 species
AGGACGAACGCUGGCGGCGUGCUUAACACAUGCAAGUGGAGCGACGAACCGGACUUCGGUCCGGGGCAGAGCCGCGAACGGGUGAGUAACACGUGGGUUAUCUGCCCAGUUGACAGGGACAACCCGGGGAAACCCGGGCUAAUACCUGAUGUGCCCCUCGGGGGAAAGGAAGCUUCGGCCUCCGCAACUGGAUGAGCCCGCGGCCCAUUAGCUUGUUGGUGGGUAAUGGCCCACAAGGCUGCGAUGGGUAGCUGGUCUGAGAGGACGAUCAGCCACACUGGGACUGAGACACGGCCCAGACUCCUACGGGAGGCAGCAGUGGGGAAUCUUGCGCAAUGCGCGAAAGCGUGACGCAGCAACGCCGCGUGAGGGAAGACGGCCUUCGGUUGUAAACCUCUUUCGAGUUGGGACGAAGGCGAACCGGUGAAUAGCGGCUUGCUUGACGGUACCUUACAGAAGAAGCCCGCAACUACGUGCCAGCAGCCGAC